rnacentral:rRNA from 1 species
AUUGAACGCUGGCGGCAGGCCUAACACAUGCAAGUCGAACGAGUGGCGGACGGGUGAGUAAUGUCUGGGCAACUGCCCGUUGGGGGGGGAUAACUACUGGAAACGGUAGCUAAUACCGCAUACCCUACGAUGUGCCCAGAUGGGAUGAGUGUGUUGGUGGGGUAACGGCUAACCAAGGCGACGACCCCUAGCCGGUGUGAGAGGCAGACCAGCCACACUGGAACUGAGCCACGGUCCAGACUCCUACGGGAGGCAGCAGUGGGGAAUAUUGCACAAUGGGCGCAAGCCUGAUGCAGCCAUGCCGCGUGUAUGAAGAAGGCCUUCGGGUUGUAAAGUACUUUCAGCGGGGAGGCGUUACCCGCAGAAGAAGCACCGGCUAACUCCGUGCCAGCAGCCGCGGUAAUUC